AUGCACGCUAUGCGGUACAUUGUCGCCAUUAUAUUUGUACUUGUUUGGUACUUCUUAGAGUUUGGACAAAUAUGGAUACUAGCCUUCUUUUGUUUUUUAUACCUUUUUGAUUUCACUACCAAAAAGCAUGACCGUGAAACAAGCACUCAGACGGAUGAUACACCUGAAGAAGCAGAACGAAAGGCAAAGAAAGGUCACCAUGUUGGUAUCACUGAUGAGACUGAUGCUUCCAGAACUGGACAAACUUUGUCUCAGACAAUGCAAUAUCCAAAUGUACAGAGGUCACUUCUCCAGGUCUUUAAAUGUGCCUAUAUUCACCUGGUCCAGCCGUGGUACACGGUCCCAGAAUUUGGUGACAGUCAGCCCCUUCAUAAGGCAAUACAGAGGGAGUUUAACCUGGUUGUCGAGAGAGUCAUUUCCAAGGCAGUGAACUUCGAUCUGUCUGUUACCAGUGUGGGUUGUAUUAGGAUCUUCACUCAGCACCUGCAUAAUGCAAAGCAGUCAGAUGGUUCUCCAGUGUUCGGUUCAAGAUCUGAGGAGAUGGCAGUCCUCAGGACCUUCUCUGAAGCUCUGGUGCAAAAUCUUUUUCCUGAGUACCUUUGGGAAGCAAAACUCUACCAGUGUGUUCUAACUGAGAUUAUUGCUACAAAAGCUCUUGAUGUGCUCGUGACAUGCCUCUGUAAUCCAGACAACUUGAAUCAGAUGGUAGUUUUGCAGCUGGAUAGAGUAACCUCUAAAAGAUCAACAGGAGACCUGCUAAACUCAGAUAGGGAAGGCACACCGUCGUCCGUAGGAAGUGAAGAAGAAGAAGAAGAAGUAUUGACAGAUGAAGCAGAGGAAGUUCGGUCUGCAGACAGAAAAAAAAAGAAGAAGGGCAAUAGGUUUAAAGAAAAAAUUUCUAAGCUUGUUGAUAAGGUCAAGUCAAAGAAAGCCAAAAAGAAAAAAUAUAAGGAGGAAGAGCUUUUACAGAAGGCUUUAUCGGCACGAAGAGCUGCUGUUAUUGAAGAUGAUGUUGCAAGCAGCAGAGAGGGCUCCAUUAGAAGCGGCAUGGACUCGGAUUAUGACUGUGAAACGGAUGUUUACCUAACAACAAAUGUCCAGGAGGAUAUGAUGGAGUUUAAACUUUCCUAUGAGAUGUGGCGGGUGGGGAAGUGGGCAGUCCGUGUUACAAAUGUUCAGAAGGAAAAUGAAGAGCUGUGUUUCACAGUUCACCUGGAGGAGAGAAAUAACCCUGAGAAUCUCAACUGGGAUGUCAAAAAGACCCAAUCAGAUAUACUGAAUUUUCACAGCCUCUGUCAAGUGAGAGAGGAAAUGGAUAGUUCAGCUUUACCCUCUGUAUCUGCAAUAGUAGAGAAAACAAAGAAGGAUCUUGAUGCUGCAUACACAGAAGAAGUUAGAUCAGCCUUGGAGCACUUUUUGCAAGAGCUGGUUUCUGAUGCACAGCUUGGUCAGACUCAGCCUGUAUUCCAGUUCUUGUGUCCCAUUGCACAGCUGCUGAGUAAUAAGGAACAUAAGGGAGGUGUCUGGAGUUUUCUGAAUGGACUGGCAAGCUUUCUUACUCCUGGCCAAGAUGAGGAUGAGUCCCAUAACCCCAGAGGAGAUGAUAAGCUCGAUGAAGCAGGAGGUGGACCAACAGCACUGCCAGCCUGCAUCGACACAGAUGAAGAGCCAAAGGAGGGCAUUGUAGAAGGGCCAAUAGCUACAAACAUUAGGUUUUGUAAUCCUCGUGAAGAGACUGAAACCUUCAGAAAUAGAGAAACAGAUAUGGAAGAUCAGACCUCUGAUGAACAGGAUGUGGUUUCAGAUGGACAGGAGAGUCUUGCUGAAAGUUUAGAUGUCUUUGUUAAUAGAUCAAAAUUAGUCAGUCCUUUAGGACACUCCAGUGAUAUCUCAAUCUCAGACAUGGACCAUACUGAAGGCUUACAGUCUGACUUCGUCGAUGGCUUUAUAAGUGCUCUGUCUGGGGGGAAAACAAAAAAAAAAGACAAGUUAACUCACAAAAAGUUAAAUGGAGAACAAAAGUCCCAAGUAAAAGAUAAAACUGGACAGCUCAAGGAAGAGCUGGCAAAUCAGCCAAAGGCUCAGAAAAAGGAGCCCCAGACCAACUGGGAGCAAAUUGAGGCUACCAAAGCCAUAUUUGAGUUACUUAAGGAAAUAACUGGUAACUCAGUCCUCGUUAACAUUGUUGAUGCCAUUCUAAAAGCAGUCCAGCCUUUGGUAAAAAAGAAAAUAAACAACUUUUUAAAAAGGAUGCAUCCCACCGAAGCUCAGAUUGCGUCCUACAUUGACAAUUUCCGGGAGAAUAUAUGGCCAGAAGGAAAUGUGGCCAUCCAGCCACCACGUGACAGUGAGGAGAAACAAGUGACCAAGGAGAAGGCUUUGCAGCUUAUAAAUUCAAAAUAUUCAAACUCUUUAAUCCUCAAGAAGACUGAAGUUGAAACUUUGUUCAAGAUCUUCCAGGACACAGAGGAGAACAAGAAACUUGUUUAUAUGCUGUUGUCAUACGUUCUAGGGAAGUUCCUACCGGGAGAGCCUGCCUUCAGUGCAGUAGCUAAUCUAACUGUUAAGGAUUUUGUUUUCUAAUAAAAAGAUUGAUUUUUUUAUUAUUGUAAUCCAUCUAAUGUUUUUAAAUGUGCAUUAUUUGACAUUUCAUGUGAAUAUUUUUCAAUGAUGCAUUGUGAUAUACCUCUGAGAUCAGACUUUGACUUUGAGCAGCAUGAUUCAUGAACACUCUUUUAUAGCAUUUAGCAUUUUAACAAAUAUACUGUAAUUAUGUUUCACUUCAGCAAUGUUACAAUAUCUUACAAUAUCCAUGUUAUCAAUAUCUGUAAAUUUUAAACUCAUAUUUAAAAAAAUAACACUGUAUAUGUAAGUUCACUCUUUUUUGUACCUUAAAAUUGUACACUGAAUAAGUGAUUUCUAUUUUAAUAAACAGCACAGGUUACUCA
ensembl:lncRNA